UAGAAAAACAGGCCUUGAACCUGCCCUCAAAGGCUCAAAACCUUUCGUACUCCCACUAUACUACUUUCU
rnacentral:tRNA from 1 species